CUUUCGAUAUCUCAGUUGGUAGAGCGGUGGACUGUAGUGUUGUAGUUUAAAAACGAAUAGAUAUCCAUAGGUCGCUGGUUCAAAUCAGGCUCGAAGGA
rnacentral:tRNA from 1 species